GACCCUGAAGGCUGAUGGGAAAAUAAGGACACUGGUAUGCAUGUAUGACUUGUGAAGACAAGCUCAUUACUGAUGUGUAUACUCAUUGAGCUUUCUAAGAGAAACAACCAGCUCUUACAACAAACACAGUAAAUGACAUGUUAUGAACAAUCUUGACUAUGCUAAAAGGUCAGUGAAUGCUGCUCAAAAGAUCAGCAACAGAUAGAAGCCACAGCCAUGCCUAGACUGGAAGGACAAAGAGAAGAAGUGGUUUUACCAGAGCCCAAGGGUAGGGUCAUCUGUGGAGGUUGGGAUGAUGGCAGGCCUGUUCUGUGGGCACUGGAACCAUGAGAAGCCAUUCCUACUGAUCAAGAAAUAAGGUCUUGAACUCUACUGGCAUGCAUGUGAGGCACCUGGGUACCAAGAAGUCCAGUCAGGUUGUAGUGGAGGUCACAGUGAGCUGUUCACAUAGGCAUAUUCCACCUGUGUGACAGGACGCCACUAAAACCAGGUUCACGAUAUAUUAAUAUGUAAUUUUGGAACCAAUGCACUCAAUACAUGCAGUAUGGUAAAGAAUGAAAUCUUAUGUGAUGCAGCAAUUAAAGUAAAAUAAAGUCCUACCAGAG